AUACGUAGGUGACAAGCGUUAUCCGGAUUUACUGGGCGUAAAGGGCGUGUAGGCGGUCUUGCAAGUCAGAAGUGAAAUUCCUGAGCUCAACUCGGGCGCUGCUUCUGAAACUGCAGGACUUGAGUGCUGGAGGGGAUAGCGGAAUUCCUAGUGGAGCGGUAAAAUGCGCAGAUAUUAGGAAGAACACCGGUGGCGAAGGCGGCUAGCUGGACAGUAACUGACGCUGAGGCGCGAAAGCGUGGGGAGCAAACAGGAUUAGAUCCCCUGGUAGUCCACGCCGUAAACGAUGAAUACUAGGUGUAGGGGGUAUCGACUCCCUCUGUGCCGCAGUUAACACAAUAAGUAUUCCGCCUGGGGAGUACGGCCGCAAGGUUGAAACUCAAAUGAAUUGACGGGG
rnacentral:rRNA from 1 species